GUCUUUUUGAGGAAUAAUUUAAAGUUUAAUCUGCCCCCUGAUGAAAUAUUAAAGGGCUGCAGUAUAUUGACUGUACAAAGGUAGCAUAAUAAAUAGUCUUUUAAUUGAAGACUUGUAUGAAAGAUUUGAUGAAAUAUAAACUGUCUCUAAGUUAAAAAUUGAAAUUAAUUUUUUAAUUAAAAAGUUAAAAUAAUUUAAAAAGACGAGAAGACCCUAUAGAGUUUUAUAAUAAUAAUUUUUUAUUGUUAUAUAUUUAGUAAUUAAUUUAAAAAAUUAUUAUUUAUUUUGUUGGGGUGAUAGAAAAAUUAAAAUAACUUUUUUUAAAAAAAAAACAUUGAUAAGUGAGUUUAUGAUCCAUAUUUUAUGAUUAAAAGAAAAAAUUACCUUAGGGAUAACAGCGUAAUUUUUUUUUUUAGUACAAAUAAAAAAAAAAGGUUGCGACCUCGAUGUUGGAUUAARAUAAAAUUUAAAUGCAAAAGUUUAAAAUUUUGAUCUGUUCGAUCAUUAAAAUCUUACAU
rnacentral:rRNA from 1 species